UACGGAGGGUCCAAGCGUUAUCCGGAAUCAUUGGGUUUAAAGGGUCCGUAGGCGGUUUUGUAAGUCAGUGGUGAAAGCCCAUCGCUCAACGGUGGAACGGCCAUUGAUACUGCAAGACUUGAAUUACUAGGAAGUAACUAGAAUAUGUAGUGUAGCGGUGAAAUGCUUAGAUAUUACAUGGAAUACCAAUUGCGAAGGCAGGUUACUACUAAUGGAUUGACGCUGAUGGACGAAAGCGUGGGGAGCGAACAGG
rnacentral:rRNA from 1 species